AGCAAAUAGAUACCCUGGUAGUCCACGCCGUAAACGAUGUGUACCCCGGCGCUGGGGAGUGAUUGCGCUCCUCGGUGCCUCAGCUUACGCAGUGAGUACACCGCCUGGGGACUACGGCCGCAAGGCUAAAACUCAAAGGAAUUGACGGGGGCCCGCACAAGCAGCGGAGCGUGUGGUUUAAUUCGACGCAACACGCAGAACCUUACCUAGGCUUGACAUGAUGCUGCAAGGAGUGGAAACACUUCCGCCUUCGAGGGUGCAUCACCGGUGCUGCAUGGCUGUCGUCAGCUCGUGCCGUGAGAUGUUGGGUUAAGUCCCGCAACGAGCGCAACCCUUGCCCCAUGUUACUUGUGUCAUGGGGGACUGCCGGUGCGUUGCACCGGAGGAAGGCGGGGAUGACGUCAAGUCCGCAUGGCCCCUACGCCUAGGGCGACACACACGCUACAAUGGCCGGCGGAAUGCGCGGCGACCCAGCAAUGGGGAGCUAAUCGCGAAGGUCGGUCUCAGUUCAGAUUGA
rnacentral:rRNA from 1 species